rnacentral:rRNA from 1 species
CACGUAGGGCGCAAGCGUGUCCGGAAUUUAUUGGGCGUAAAGAGCUCGUAGGCGGUCUGUUACGUCUGCUGUGAAAACCCGGGGACUCAACCCCGGGCCUGCAUUCGAUACGGGCAGACUAGAGUUCGGUAGGGGAGUCUGGAAUUCCUGGUGUAGCGGUGAAAUGCGCAGAUAUCAGGAGGAACACCGGUGGCGAAGGCGGGACUCUGGGCCGAUACUGACGCUGAGGAGCGAAAGCGUGGGGAGCGAACAGG